GAUCCCGUGGCGUAAUGGUAGCGCGUGAGAUUCCAAUCUGGGAUACGAACGAAGUGUCUCCCAUCCGAGAGGAUGGCGAGGCGACUACUCCUCAAGGUUGUCCGUUCGAUUCGGGCCGGGAUCG